UCUGUUUGUUAAGAAUAUUCCUGUUGUUAUUAAUAUGAUAAAAAAUGCACUAGCGUUUAUCAUACUGACAUAAAAUCGCAUAUUCUCUCUCCUUCUGGCAGAGGUUUUGCCUUUGCCUGGGUUCUGUCUCCAUGAUUGCUGAUAUCAGAAAUAUUCCUACUUAAAGCGAGAGGCAUAUCGAGUGCUGCUUCUGUAUUAGCGAACUGGGUUAUGGCCUUCUUAGGAUCCCAAAGAAUUUCAGGAUUUUAUAGCAAGCAUCAUGAAUUGCUCUUAUUUCUUCAGUUCCUGAAUUCUUUUAACCUGAUGUACUGACUGUAAUGGUCAUGUGAGAAUAUUAAUUGCAUUGGGGCCAGCAUCUUUUUUUCUAAGAUGUAAAAUAAAAUCUAAUUUUAUAAAUAAA